AUGGGGGCUAACCAGUUAGUGGUGCUCAACGUGUGUGACAUGUAUUGGAUGAAGGAAUAUACCUCAUCCAUUGGAAUUGGAGUUUUUCAUUCAGAAAUUGAAGUCUAUGGCAGAGAAUUUGCUUAUGGUGGCCAUCCUUACCCCUUUUCUGGAAUAUUUGAAAUUUCCCCAGGAAAUGCUUCUGAACUAGGAGAACCAUUUAAAUUUAAAGAAGUUGUUUUAGGGAGCACGGACUUCCUAGAAGAUGAUAUAGAAAAAAUUGUAGAAGAACUGGGAAAAGAAUACAAAGGCAAUGUUUAUCAUUUAAUGCAUAAAAACUGCAAUCAUUUUUCUUCAGCUUUAUCAGAGGUAAACU
rnacentral:lncRNA from 1 species